rnacentral:lncRNA from 1 species
AAGAAAAAAUCAGAAUAAGAAACAUAAAAAAUAUUGAUUAAACGAUCGAAGUGAAAAGAUUUUAACCUAAAUAUCCUCAUUUCCCAAUAAAAAUAUCAACCAUAUCUCAUAACAUGUAUGAAAUUGAUUGCGAAGAACACUCCAAAUAUGCUUAUCAAAGAUCAAACUAAUGACAUGAUUGGGGACAGACCUAUGAUGCUACUUGAUCCCUGCUUCUCAAAACAUAUUCAACAUUAGUGGGUUGGCAUAUGAAUUAAAAAUUGUAAUUUGGCUAAUACAUACCAUAAAAGGAGGCUCGAAGAUGUAGAUCCCUUUAGAAAUUGCAAUUCCAUGGAUAUUGCUGCCAUAAUAGAUUCUUUGAAACCAGAAUAAAGAAAAUGAUACUUUACGAUCUUAAUACUCCUCGAAUUAAACUGUAUCAGAAGAAAUCGAGAGAGUAGCAAUAUAGGAUUGGGAUAAUUAAAGCAUCAUAGAUGGAUUAAAUCCUUGUAUUAUUUCUUUCGAUUUUCUUUCAAAAAACAAAAGCAAGAUUAAAUAGGAAAAAUAACAAAAGAAAAGAAAUAGAAAAGGAAAAGGAGAGAGAGAGAGAGAGAGAGAGAGAGAGAGACUACCUGAAGAGUUGAAAUUUUAUGAGAAUGAAUGUAUAUAUGAAGCUGAGAUAAUGUGUAUUUAAUUUUAAAUAAAAUUUGAUUCCUAGUUUUCUGGGAUUGGGUUGAAUAUAUAGAUAAUUUUAGAGUAAAUUUAGGAGCCCGAAUGAAAUUGAAAUUAGAAAACAAUAAAAUCAUCUUAUCAA